rnacentral:rRNA from 1 species
AUUGAACGCUGGCGGCAGGCCUAACACAUGCAAGUCGAGCGGAUGAAGGGAGCUUGCUCCUGGAUUCAGCGGCGGACGGGUGAGUAAUGCCUAGGAAUCUGCCUGGUAGUGGGGGCUAACGUCCGGAAACGGGCGCUAAUACCGCAUACGUCCUGAGGGAGAAAGUGGGGGAUCUUCGGACCUUACGCUAUCAGAUGAGCCUAGGUCGGAUUAGCUAGUUGGUGGGGUAAAGGCCUACCAAGGCGACGAUCCGUAACUGGUCUGAGAGGAUGAUCAGUCACACUGGAACUGAGACACGGUCCAGACUCCUACGGGAGGCAGCAGUGGGGAAUAUUGGACAAUGGGCGAAAGCCUGAUCCAGCCAUGCCGCGUGUGUGAAGAAGGUCUUCGGAUUGUAAAGCACUUUAAGUUGGGAGGAAGGGCAGUAAGUUAAUACCUUGCUGUUUUGACGUUACCAACAGAAUAAGCACCGGCUAACUUCGUG